ACGCUUCAGCAGCACACAUACUAAAAGUAGAACAAUACAGAGAAGAUUCCUGUGGCCCCUACAUGGGGAAGACAUACAAAUUCCUGAAGUGUUAUAUAUUUUU
ensembl:snRNA LOC120099419 U6 spliceosomal RNA